rnacentral:sRNA from 1 species
GCCGGGUGUGGUGGUGCACACCUGUAGUCCCAGCUACUCGGGAGGCUGAGACAGGAGAAUCACUUGAACCCAGGAGGCGGAGGUUGCAGUGAGCCAAGAUGGCACCACUGCACUCCAGCCUGGGUAACAGAGACUCUGUCUCAA